GCCCGCUUGGCUUAGUGGUAAAGCGCAUCACUAGUACCGAAGUAUCUUCAAUCCUAGUGUUAUGAUGAGAUCACUGGUUCGAUUCCAGUAGUGGGCA
rnacentral:tRNA from 1 species